rnacentral:rRNA from 1 species
GAGUCCGUUGUUUGUGUUUGUCCUUGUGUUCUCUUUUCUUCUCGGUUUCUUUGAUUUGAGUUUACCGUAGGAGGAGAAGAUAGGAAGAGAAACGACGAGAAUAACGUGACCAGAGUACCGUCCGGUGACGGAGACUAGGAUCGGGUGAGGUCCUGAAAACGCAGCGGCUGGACGUAAGUGGUCACGCACAGUUACCCAAACAAACGUUCUUGGGCUACCUUCAAUUGCGUCUGCUGAAGAAGUUCCGUCGGUUGGAGCUGUUCGGAUCCCACUGGUUGUUCCAACCUAGGUUGCAGUGAAACUAGUUGCAGUACGUCUAACGACCUGAGUUGUGGGAGCCGUAGAGUUAACGCGCGUAGCUGAUACGAGGGAAUCCAGUCUUGGGUGGUGUAUGCGUGGGAGCGCGGUGACUCUAGGAGUGCCACGAGCUCCCCUAUGAUAUACAACCGAAACAGUGUAGGUUGGUCGGGCGGGGGUUGUCUUUGUUCAAGGAAAGGUUCUACGAGUUGUUUCCACUACACAAACAGAAGGGGCACCCCGAGUAGGUGAAGGUUAAGUUGGGGUUGGGGGUGGUCGGGCGACAACGUUAACGGCGCGAAUCGUCGGUCUUGGGUCCCCGAUAGUGUUAACGGUUACGUCACAAACCCAGCCUGGGUGGUUAUAGUCUACUACAAGAACGGUUCCGUAAAGUCCACCUUUUCUUAUGUUAUCUGAUAGAGGUCCGAGUUAAAACCCUCUUGUUGGUGUUGAUUCAGUCUGCAAACAACUAAUGUGCCUUCUAAUCACGUAUUUAGUUCCUAAACCAACUUAAAGAGCUCGUAGGAAUAUAGUUAUUUUAUUUACCUCUUAUACAGUACGGCGACACACAGACAUUCGGUACUUACAUAAAGUUACAAUACUUAUUAGUUGUUAUAGAAAAAAGUAGUGAGACUAUACUACAACAUACGAUAAAACCAAUAAUACGCAGCAUAAAGGGUAUUGCUUACUUUUAAGUCCCAAGAAAAGGGGAAGAGGCUAUGUUAUCUGCUAAUAGAUCAUUAAAUUACAUUCAAACGACCAAGCCAACUUGUGGAGCC